GUCCAAACUUGGUUAGUAUACAUAGAGUCCAUUUUGAAUUUCAUGAUAUUGAGCCAAUUAUCAGAGUCACUACUCAUGACAACUUCCGAAUAGGUCAUAGGUUUAUCAUUCUCAAUGAUGUGGGUUGUAUUAUCAUUCUCAAUGACAAACCCAUACCUGAGUGGUACAUUAUGCACUCUACUCGACCUUCAGACAGGAGG
rnacentral:lncRNA from 1 species